UUUCUUUCAUCCACACCUGUGAAUUUAAACAUUUAUUUGCUUUGGCGGGUAGUAUCCUUAUUGUGCUCCCGCCAACAAUCAAAACCUAUUAAUUUGUUGUCUGAGUGAAGAAUAUUAAAAUUCAAAACUUUCAACAACGGAUCUCUUGGUUCUCGCAUCGAUGAAGAACGCAGCGAAACGCGAUAUGUAAUGUGAAUUGCAGAAUUUUGUGAAUCAUCGAAUCUUUGAACGCACAUUGCGCCCUCUGGUAUUCCGGAGGGCAUACCUGUUUGAGCGUCAGUUCCUUCUCAAACUUUAUGUUUGGUGUUGACCUAGUAUGUGUUUUGUAACAUAUGGGUUGAAAUACAUUGGCUAAGCAUUCUUUUAGUAUUUACAACGUAUUAGGUUUUACCAACUCGUUGGACUGUGCUUGAGAAAACGCUGGGCGAUAGAACAGAACUUUUAAAAUUUGACCUCAAAUCAGGCAGGACUACCCGCUGAACUUAAGCAUAUCAAUAAGCGGAGGAAGGAUAUUAACGAGUAAGCUGAAAAGCUUUCUUUCAUCAAACUGGUGAAUUUAAACAUUUAUUUGCUUUGGCGGGUAGUAUCUUUAUUGUGCUCCGCAAAUCAAACCAUUAAUUUGUUGUCUGAGUUGAGGAAUAUUAAAA
rnacentral:rRNA from 1 species